CUGAAGUUGAUAACUUGAAAUGCGUGGGUUUUCAUAAGCAUGAAUUCUUAAACUACCCACGCUUAACCUUCAAAAAAAUACUAUGCCUCACCUUUCUGUAGACAAAGAACUCUUACAUCCACAUAAAAAACCAGAUAUUUCCGGAUCAAACAAACAUCAAAUACAAAAACACAAACUUUAAUAUAUUUUUCACAAAAACUAAAAGAUAUAAAAACUGCACCAAUUCUAUUUCGUUUAUUAAAUUAACAAACUGUAAUUAUAUUAAAUUUAUGUAUUUUUUAUGAAACCCUGGAUAACAAAGAACUCAAGCUUGGUGAACCAGACCUUGAACAAACAGGCAACCUCAAUCCUGAACAAGAGAUCUACAAGACAGUUCCAGCAAGGACCCGAGCCAGCAAGGUCCUCAGCUUUCAUCCGAGCUCCGUAACUUUAACAAUAUAUAUGUUGAAGUCGUAAAAUAAAAACAUCUUGAAGCAAUCUUUCCUUUUUUGUUCCAGAAGAUACUAAUAAAAUUGAUUUCACAUUAAAAUACAUAUUGUGUUUGUUCGAAAAGUUGACUAGAACUUCAAAAAAAGCUGGGUUCCCAAGCUUGUCUAUAUUUAUAAGCUAAAAAACAACUCUGGUAUGAUUCUUGCUCCGGCACGGCACCAAAUCUGAACUUCUAUGACAGAAAGAGAAGCUAAAAAGAAGCCAAAUAAAGGAAAUUAAGCGGACAUGGAAAUGGAUCAAAGA